UACGUAGGUGGCAAGCGUGGUCCGGAUUUACUGGGCGUAAAGAGCGCGCAGGCGGUCGUUCAAGUCGCGUGUGAAAGCCCCCGGCUCAACUGGGGAGGGUCACGCGAUACUGAUCGACUCGAAGGCAGGAGAGGGAAGUGGAAUUCCCGGUGUAGUGGUGAAAUGCGUAGAUAUCAGGAAGAACACCCGUGGCUAAGGCGGCUCUCUAGUACGGUACUGACGCUGAGACGCGAAAGCGUGGGGAGCGAACAGG
rnacentral:rRNA from 1 species